UGUCCCAUGUGAGUUGGGUCUAAGGGUUGGCCCAAAGGGAAACAAACCCUAAGUCUGCCCUAAACCUCAUUCCUCUCACUUUGUUGAAACAGAUUUCCAAACCCCCUUUGAGUAGCCGUCACCCUCUCCGAUAGGGUUCAGCCUUGGAGCUCCGUCGCACUUGUUCGAGCCAGUUUCGUUCCACCUCGCUAAACCGCUCUAGGAGCUGCUGCCUUUCUCUGUUUAUACCCAAGAACCCAACUGUUAGCCCUUUUCCAUAUGCGAGGAACACCCGUGGUCAACAGGGAGGUGAUGGUUCUGCUGCUUAGUCUUUGGGUUGACUUCUGCCCUUGGACUCUUCAUUUAGGGCUAAGGCCCAUGUAUUGUUUUCUCCAGAAAUUUGUUUAAAUCAUUUUUAUUCUCUUACUUUACUUUGUACCCGACAUCGUGGUGUAUCUCUUUUUUUCGUCCUCUACGCAAUUGGGAUAUAUGUAGGAGUGACGUUAUACUCUUUUAUCCUCGCUUCUUAUAUUAUAUUGUGUGAUAUAUCC